GACACGCCGGCAGCAGCGGAGCAGAGCGGCUACUCGCCCUCUGACGCCCCACCUCCUCUCCGCUCUCCUCGGAGGGGCGGCCUGCCUCCCGCCAGCCCCCGCAGGGGACACUUCAUCCGCCUGUGGACUCAGUUUAUCAGCUCUGAAGAUGUAGCAGUACCUCACUGAUACGCGGUCUCACUAGGCGAUGGCGAGGUCUCUGGAUACACGGGUAUUCCCGGUAGCCAAGUGUGAGCCGGUAAGCCAUUGUUUGGAAGGGUUCCCAUGGUUUCUUGCUGUCUGUGGAUCAUGGUGGAAGAAGCACUCCCAAAGACACCUCCUGCCCAAAUUCAGAACUCACUCUCCUUUCAACCAACCUCUGUAAAGAUUUAAUUCUUCAGACUGUUACGAAGCAAUAACUUGGGUUAAUUUUAUCACUGGUUUAGUAUUAUACAGUUCUCAAGCUAAUAAACUCAAUUUCCACUAGUAACUCAGAAAAAAUCAUUUGGGAAUGUAAACCUGUUUGCUGCAGGUUUUGCUUUUCAUUGGCACUUUUUCUUCCUUUCUUCAUUUUCUAGUUUUCAUCUCUGCUUUAGUUCACUUUUGUUGACAGUGCCAUGGAAUAUACAGAUACAUUGGUGCCUUUGCAAGUCAAACCCCACAUUUACAUUUAAUUGAACUAUUUACUCUUUCUUCACUGGAGGGUCACCUGAUGAAAAUUGGUCCAAUACCAUCCCUUUGACUUUCCAGCAAUACUCAAAUUCCAGAGACUAAGUGACAAAAUGUAUUUAAUUAGGGAAAUGGUGCAUUUAAUAUAUGGUUCUAAUGUGUUUUUACUUAUAUGUAGUAGUUUUAGUACUUCAUAAAAGUCUGUUUCUUAGGUAUACAUUUGCUAGUUAGUGCUUGAGGAGAAGAUAGCAAUCAGACACAGAGGCAUAUGUGAAGAGUAGUCAUGGUACUGAAGGACGUGCAGCUGAUGAGGGGAAUCAGUUCAACAGUUUUAUGUUCAUGCGACAGUGAAAUAAGGUUACAGCAUCCCUCCUGGGCUAAUCUGCAGACUUUCUGUCCUGAAAACGG
rnacentral:lncRNA from 1 species